rnacentral:lncRNA from 1 species
GAUCAACCAUAUGAAGGCUUCAGCUCAGUUUCUGGAACUGUAAAUGCUCAAUAAAAAUUAAUUGUUAUUAUUGCUAGGAACCGAGUGCCCACCAGCCCAGGUGCAACACAGAGAAAGGAAGAAAGGCUAUUUAAGAAUGCCCACAGAGGAAGGAAGCAGGAUGGCACCUAAAAUCGGGAGGACUCAACUAUUAUUCAGAGAUGAAGGAGCUGCUCUUCUGGUCUUUAAUAACAUCCAUCAAGACUCUGGACUCCACUCGGGCCCUUGGUUAGCUGUUGACAUGGGAAAUUUAUUCAUGUGAUCAUGAGCCAACAAUCAUACAUGGAGUGUCAGGUGCUGUCCUAAGUAUCAGGGACAGAGACAUGAAAGAUAUAGAUGAAGUCAUACUAUCAGAUCAGGUACUCAGGUAAGGUUUGAGCCAGAAUGAUUUAAAGGAGCAAACCCUGCAUCAGCUGGAAAUAUUUGCAUUCAUGUGCAAAGGCCCUGAGGUGGGCUGUAAGUUCAGUGUGCUAGAGAACAGCUAGAAGGAGACGCCUGGGCGGGGUGCGGGGGUGGGGGGGAUGAGGUUCAAGAAGAAGACAGGUAAGACCUUGCAGGUCAUAGAGGGAAUCGGCAUUUUGUACCAAGUGAGCUGAGAACUGCUGUAAGAUUCUGAGCAGAAGACUGUCAUCAUCUAAACUGUGUUUUUAGAAGAUCACCCUGAACUAUAGUGGGGUAAAUAAGGGUGGAAGUAAGUUAGGAGACUACUGUAGCAGGUCAGGUGAGAGACAGUGGUGGGGUCUGGGGAGAGACAAUGGUGAGAAGAGGCUUAGAAAUAAUAAUACUCUUGGGACAAUGCCUUCUGUACUUAAGUUUUGAAGGAUCAGUCCAAGAUUUUCUGAUGGGUGUGUGUGUGUGUGUGUGUAAGAG